rnacentral:rRNA from 1 species
UUCCGGUUGAUCCUGCCGGACCUGACUGCUAUCGGAUUGAUACUAAGCCAUGCAAGUCUUUGUAGUAAUACAAGGCAUACGGCUCAGUAACGCGUAGUCAACCUACCCUAUGGAUGGGGAUAAUCUCGGGAAACUGAGCAUAAUACCCAACAGAUCAUUAAUUCUGGAAUGGUUGAUGAUUCAAAUGAUUUUUCGCCAUAGGAUGGGACUGCGGCCUAUCAGCUUGUUGGUGAGGUAAUGGCCCACCAAGGCAAUUACAGGUACGGGCUCUGAGAGGAGAAGCCCGGAGAUGGGUACUGAGACAAGGACCCAGGCCCUAUGGGGCGCAGCAGGCGAGAAAACUUUGCAAUGUGCGAAAGCACGACAAGGUUAAUCCGAGUGAUUUCUGCUAAAGGAAUCUUUUACCAGUUCUAAAAAUACUGGCGAAUAAGGGGUGGGCAAGUUCUGGUGUCAGCCGCCGCGGUAAAACCAGCACCUCAAGUGGUCAGGAGGAUUAUUGGGCCUAAAGCAUCCGUAGCCGGCUCUGUAAGUUUUCGGUUAAAUCUAUAUGCUCAACGUAUAGGCUGCCGAAAAUACUGCACAGCUAGGGAAUGGGAGAGGUAGACGGUACUCGGUAGGAAGGGGUAAAAUCCUUUGAUCUAUCGAUGACCACCUGUGGCGAAGGCGGUCUACCAGAACAUGUUCGACGGUGAGGGAUGAAAGCUGGGGGAGCAAACCGGAUUAGAUACCCGGGUAGUCCCAGCUGUAAACGAUGCAGACUCGAUAAUGCACUGGCACAUAGCCAGUGCAGUGUCGCAGGGAAGCCGUUAAGUCUGCCGCCUGGGAAGUACGUACGCAAGUAUGAAACUUAAAGGAAUUGGCGGGGGAGCACCACAAGGGGUGAAGCCUGCGGUUCAAUUGGAUUCAACGCCGGG